GGGGGCAUCGAUGACAUUUGCAUAGGUGGCCUUCCAGGUUGCUGCUGCUGCAUCGGUGGUGGUGGUGGUCGCCAAAGCUGUGGCUGUGCUCCUCCCAUUCCCAUUGGUGGAGGGAUAGGCAUGGAAUGCGCUUGAGCCUGAGGAGGUGGCAGAGGCAUGUUUGGGGGAGGUGGCCGGAACUGCUGAACUGGUGGCGGAAUGAUGGAACCUGGCAUCAUUUGACCUGGUUGUUGUGGCUGACCCUGCCAGGCUGGUGGUUGUCCAGCCAUUGGCAUAGGGGGGAAAGCCACCCCUUGCGGUGGGGGAGGACGAAUUGCAGGAAUCGGGCUGGGAGCGAUUGCACCAUUAGCAAAGGGGCGUGGUGGCACUGGAGCUCCGAUUGCACCAUUAGGCUGUGCAACCUUUGGAAGUGUCGGAGGGCCACUUGCGAACAAAGUGUGAGGCCUACUCUUCUGGGGAUUGCUAGCAGCCAAUACUCUCUCUGCAGGUGUGCCGUGCCGCUCUCCCUUGGUAUCUUUCUUAUAGGCAUAAGAAACCGUUAUUUGACGAUUACAAAGAUACUGACCAUUCAUUGCCUCAAUUGC
rnacentral:misc_RNA from 1 species